GUCUGCUAAAAGUGUUCUAUUGGUCUGAAGACAGGCCUCUAACAGUCUGCUAACAGUCUGCUAACAGCCUCUAACAGUCUGCUAACAGUCUGCUAACAGCCUGCUAACAGUGUUCUAUUGGUCUGAAGACAGGCCUCUAACAGUCUGCUAACAGUCUGCUAACAUCUGCUAACAGUCUGCUAACAGUCUGCUAACAGCCUGCUAACAUCUGCUAACAGUCUGCUAACAGCCUGCUAACAGUGUUCUAUUGGCCUGAAAACAGGCCUCCAACAGUCUGC